rnacentral:rRNA from 1 species
AUUGAACGCUGGCGGAAUGCUUUACACAUGCAAGUCGAGCGGCAGCGCGGGGCAACCUGGCGGCGAGCGGCGAACGGGUGAGUAAUACAUCGGAACGUGCCCAGACGUGGGGGAUAACUACUCGAAAGAGUGGCUAAUACCGCAUACGAUCUAAGGAUGAAAGCGGGGGAUCGCAAGACCUCGCGCGUCUGGAGCGGCUGAUGGCAGAUUAGGUAGUUGGUGGGGUAAAGGCUUACCAAGCCUGCGAUCUGUAGCUGGUCUGAGAGGAUGAUCAGCCACACUGGGACUGAGACACGGCCCAGACUCCUACGGGAGGCAGCAGUGGGGAAUUUUGGACAAUGGGCGAAAGCCUGAUCCAGCCAUUCCGCGUGCAGGAUGAAGGCCCUCGGGUUGUAAACUGCUUUUGUACAGAACGAAAAAGACUCUUUCUAAUACAGAGAGUCCAUGACGGUACUGUAAGAAUAAGCACCGGCUAACUACGUGCCAGCAGCCGCGG